rnacentral:rRNA from 1 species
AACGAACGCUGGCGGCAUGCCUAAUACAUGCAAGUCGAACGAGAUCUUCGGGUCUAGUGGCGCACGGGUGCGGAACGCGUGGGAAGCUGCACGUGGGUUCGGUAUAACUUCUGGAAACGGAAGCUAAGACCGGAGGAGGACGUAAGUCAAAAGAGUUAUCGCGGAAGGAUGAGCCCGCGUAGGAUUAGGUAGUUGGGGAGGUAAACGCGAAUCAAGACGACGAUCCUGAGCUGGUCUGAGAGGAUGCUCCGCCACACUGGGGCUGCGACACGGACCAGACUCGUAGGCAAGGGAGCAGUAGGGAGUAUUAGACGCUGGGCGCAAGCCUGACCACGCCAUGCCGGGUGAGUGAUGCAGGGCUUAGGGUUGUAAAGCUCUUUUACACGGGAUGAUAAUGACAGUACCGGGUGAAUAAGCUCCGGCUAACUACGUG